rnacentral:lncRNA from 1 species
UACAUAACAAAUGUUUGAAUCUACAAAAUGUAUACUUCUCUUGAAAUUAAGUUAAAAAUUGAAAAAUUGAAAAAUAACAGGACUUUUGCUCAGAUUUUUGAAAUGACAAUACUACUGAAUUUCUAAAUGGAAAAAAAAUGUUCUUGCAUAACGUAAAAGACACUUUAAGGCAAAACAUAAUCCUAAGGUAUGCAUCUGUUUGAUUGUAUUUAAUAUAUUGCAAUAAUGGAUCAUUUUCUUCACUUUAAUUAAAACAUGAAAAUUUAAUUGAUCCAUAAUUGUAUAAAAUGUUUUCAGCUGUAUCAAAUAAGUUAUGACAAACAUAUGAAUGAUUUAUUUCAUGUAUUUUUAGAAUUUGAAAUUCUGAAAUGAAAAGUAUAUUACAUAUUCUUUUUAAAAAUUUAACUUCCGUUUACUGGUAUAAAUCUAGAUAUAUCUUCUCACCAAGCCUGCAUUGCAAGCUAGCAUCUAAAUGUUGAUCUUCAUUUCAAUAAGCUUUUCAAUACCUUGUGAUCUAUACAUAUUUUUAUGAAUCAUUUGUAUUAAACUGCAAUCAGGUACAAAUUAUUAUCAUUAUUUAAAAAAAAAACAUGGGACAUGGAUUCCCAAUUCAUUGGUUAUUAGAACAAUGAGCAGAAAUUUUGUCAUUUUCAUAAAAUUUCAUACACUAAAGGAGUGAAAUCAAGGAAAGAAUGAUUUACAUGUUUCUGAUAUAAAAAUCAGGUUAUUAUUUAUUUUUAAACAAUUAAAAUAUCCUCUUUGACAACAGAUAAUCAAGAUGCAGACAGUUAUUUUCUAUAGAGUUCAAAGGUCAUAGGUAAUUAGGUCAUUAGAUUAUAUGUAUGUCAGCAGACAUACUUUGAAAAGUGGGCAUCCUGAGAAUGAUUAAGUCAAUCUAUUUUGAAUAAGCUGAGCAAGAUAUUUGGAAUACAAUGAACGUACAUACACAUAGUGAUGGCAGUAGUUAAACAUGACCGUUGGGCCUAGUGAACAAAUAUGUGUAUUCCUCACCCCUUCCUUUACAUAGUGAAAUACCAAAAAGCACAAUAAUGAAUUAUGAAAGAACAUCAAACUAACGGAAUGACACGAUGCAUAACGUGAAAUUAUUAGAAUUGAAGUGCAGUUUAGCAAAUUAAUGAGUGAAUGUACAAAUCAUAAGAAAAUAAUAUCACAUGUGGUAGAAAAUAACAUACAGAAAGUAAAAUGUAUGUUUUUAUUAU